GAAUUUGCUUAUUGUUCGCUGCCUAUUACCAGCACAUUAAUUUGAGUCAGUUACUCUGGCUCAUUUUCUGUCAUAAGUCUGUUGUGUCAUGUACUGGUAUGCAACAUAAAAAAACAUGAAUAUUAGGGAAGGACCUAAUAUCAAAUAAAUAGAAGAGGUGAGGCUUCGAACCCAAGCCGGCUAGCCCAUCACCUUGUGGAGCUAGCCGGAAGACCCUAGGCGUUUCUCUACUGAUAUGUAACAUGGAUCCAUUCUUCUUAUAUGUAAAUACAGUGAAACCUUCAACUUGUUGAAUUCCAAAUCUAAUAUAGUAUCUUUUAAGUGGUUC
rnacentral:sRNA from 1 species